rnacentral:rRNA from 1 species
AACUGAAGAGUUUGAUCAUGGCUCAGAUUGAACGCUGGCGGCAGGCUUAACACAUGCAAGUCGAGCGGGGGAAGGUAGCUUGCUACUGGACCUAGCGGCGGACGGGUGAGUAAUGCUUAGGAAUCUGCCUAUUAGUGGGGGACAACAUCUCGAAAGGGAUGCUAAUACCGCAUACGUCCUACGGGAGAAAGCAGGGGAUCUUCGGACCUUGCGCUAAUAGAUGAGCCUAAGUCGGAUU